CGGCACACCGCACACGCCCUUCCUCCUCCAGUUCGCUCGCCGCCCCUCUUUCCCUUCUCGGACCACUCCAGCUCCAGCUCGCCGGCCACCUUCUCGGAGCACUCCAAUUCGUCGGCGGUCGGCCUCACCCUGCCAGCCUCCCUCUCAGUUCGCCGGCGAAGGCGGAGUUACAGGUCGGCGACUCCCUCUUUCACACUCUCUCUUUUACUCUCUGCCCAACUCUCUUUCACACUCUCUCUUUUACAGCUAUCUCGACGCACGCAAGCACCGGUCGCCGCUGCGCCCGCACCAUUUUGAUUUUGUUAGAUAAAUUGUUGAUUUCAGCCAUUUUUGAGAGAUUGAGUUUGUUAGAUUCAGUCAUUUCAGCCAUUAAAUUUGUUGAUUUCGGCCAUUGAUUUGGCAGCCAUUUUGUUAGAUUAGAUUAUGGUUUUUGAUUGAGUUUGUUAGAUUCAGCCAUUUCAGAUUGGAUUUAUCGAAAUUUUAUGGUUUUUGAAUUGGAUUUGGCAGCCAUUUUGAUUUAUCAUGUUGACAGAUUGGUUUUGGCAGCCAUGUAUUUAUCAUGUUGACAAAUUGAUUUUUGAUUUGGCAG
rnacentral:lncRNA from 1 species